rnacentral:lncRNA from 1 species
GUGAAUGAAACUAUUGAACUAACCUUGGAGCUGACCUGACAUAUUAGAGGUUCUUAGCAUCAUUAAAUUCCUAAUUUUGACUUAUCAGUCAUCAGCUGGUUGUAGUUUCAGAGUAUUAUCUCUUUCUUCUUAGUGUCUCUGAAUAUGUGCUUUUUUUUGUAAUUAAGAUUCUUCACUUGUUAAUACUUCUGGCCAAUGGAAUGCAAACUAACAUCUGUUGCAUGGUCAGGCAACACUAGCAACACUGGAUUAUUCCAUGCCUGGACUAUGCUACUUUCAGGCUUUUGUGCUUCAAUUACGCUGUUUGCUCUGCUUCUCAUAAUGCUCCCUCAUGUUUUCUUCUUUGCUCCUCAACUCAGAGAAUUCUAGCUCAUUCUUCAAGGCCAAGAUCAAAUAUCACUUCCUCCAAGAAGCCUUUCUCAACCCUACUUUUCCUCUUUGCCAUGAUUCUCCAUCAUUUCAUAGGUCUAGUUAUCUCUCCCAUGAUGCUUUGUUCAUACUGCUAACAAAAUGUGUCAGUAGAUAUUUGUUUCUACAUAAUAGUUUCCUCUUCUAUCACAUUAGCUUGGAGAAAAUGAAAUUUGUCCUGAGUAUAUUUGCAUGUCUGUAUUAGGGUUCUCUAGAGAGACAGAACUAAUAGGAUAGAGAGAUAGGUGGAUUGGCUCAUGUGAUUAAAGAGGCUGAGACGUUCCUCGAUAGACCAUCUGUAAGCCUGGAGACACAGGGAUGCCAGUAGCAUGGUUGUCCAAACUGGAGGGCCUCAGAACCAGGGAAGCCCUUGGUGCACCUCUCACUCUAAGGCUGAAGACCUAAGAAGCCAGGAGGCCACUGGUGCAAGUCUCAGAGUUCAAAGGCUGGAGAACCUAGAGUUCUGAUGGCCAAGGACAGGACGAGAAGGGUGUCUCAGCUCCAGGAGAGAGAGCAAGAGAGCCUUUCCUCUGCCUUUUCACUCUAUCCAGACCCCCAGCCGGUUAGAUGGUGCCCACCCACAUUGAAGGAGGAUCUCCCCAACUCAGUCCACGAACUCACAUGCCAAUAUCCUCUGGAAAUACCCUCAUAGACACACUCAGAAAUAAUGAUUUAGCACCCAUCUCUUAAUCCAGUCAAGUUAAUACCUAAAAUUAACCAUCACAAUCUCCAAAGUCAAACAUAGUGCCUGGUGGAGACCUACGUGUGUCGAAUCAAUCAAGAAAACUUACAGUGUGGUAUGUAGUAUACAGAGUCACUUUAGCCUAGGUUUGAGUUAUAGGUCAAGCCACUUACUACCUGUUAACCUUGGACACAUUAUUUAAACUUUCUGAGCACUUGUUUUCUCAUUUGUAAAGCGAAGAUGUUAAAAAUAAUAUAAAUUAACUUUUGAACAUGGCUUGAGAAUGUAAUAAGUUAACACCUUUACAGUUAUGUAGAGCAGUGCCUGAGGCACAGUAGGCACACAAUAAAUAUUAGCCCUUAUUAUAAUAAUCAUCUUAUAUAGUGAGAUUGGUCUCCUAGAAGGGCAGUGAAAAUAUUAUCAAAAGAAUCACCAAUUGCUGCUCAGGAGCAUUGAAGGAGCACCUUGAGUUGGAGAAGUGUCAACAAUUUUGAUUGAAGCUAGAUGAGCGUGUCUAUGCCUAGUGGGCAGGCCUUAAUUUGCUGCUUCUUCACAUUUCACUGGCGAUUAAAUGCUGAGGGACCCAUGUCUCUGAUACCUGGCUUGGAGCCCAGUCUCCUGGGAUGCUAUUUCAACUUGACCCAGCUAUAAAAGCAUAGGAACCCCAGUCAUCAGAUAAAGCAGUAGAGCAACGAAGGUCUGUGCUGUCUGGUCAAGGGUUAGAUUUGGAUGGUUAGGGAGCUGGAAGAUAUUGGUAUGGGAUUGUGGGGUUGGAGAGAUGGAUUUGGCUUAGGAGAACAGAAGGAAGGCUCCAGCAGCAGGAAAUCAUUUUCUUGCUAGCCUGUGUUCCAAUUAGGGGCAAAUAUUAGAAGCAGGAACUGCCUCAAGGUAGGAGGAUAAUAGGACUGAGGGUUUUAGGUAAGGGAUAUCCUGCCACAGAGAUGACAAUGUGAUCUGGUAUGCGUUUUCCUCUGCAUGUCAAAUGAAUAACAAGGAUUAAUUUGCUUCCGCCACAAGAUGCACAACAUUCUCUACUCCUCCCUCUGCUGUGGCUGCUGGAGGCCACUCAUGUAGGGCACCCAUAUUCAUGACAGCUUGAAAGCACUAGAGAAAGCCAGCUUCUAUAUUACAUUGCAAAAUUGCAGCAGGCUUAUUUCUUUGAGAGCACAUACUGUUUUGAGUCCUGAGAAGUCCCUUUUGUAUCUUGCCUACCUCUCCUCUUUGAGAGCCUGUAACAUACGUGCAGUGGGCAUAAACCACACACCAAGCCCUCGCUGUGCUAGUGGAUUUACUUUCGAUUGCUACUACAACAAAUUACUACAAAUUUAGGGGCUUAAAACAACACCCAUUUAUUAUCUCACAGUUCUGUAGGUCAGAAGUCCAGUAGGCGCAGCUGGUUUCUCUGUUUCAAGUCUCACAAGACUGAAAUCAAGGCAUUCGCUGAGCUGCUUUCCCUUCCGGAGGCUCUAGGGGAGAGUCCAUUUCCAGGUUAAUCCAGGUAGUCGGCAGAAAUCAAUGUCUAUAGAACUGAGGUCUGUUUCCUUUGCUGGCUGCCAUCUGGGCAUCUCCCUUGGUAUUUAGAGGCCUCUUUUGAGUCAUUGUAGGUAGUCUCUGCACACCCAAAACUAGGAAUGGCAUAUUAAAUUCUUCUGACCCUGGAUCUCUUCUGUCUCCGCUUCUUGUGCUGCAUCUCUAUGACCAACUCUUCUGCCUUCCACUUCUGCUUUUAAGUGAUUAGAUGGGCCCCCUUGGUAAUCCAAGAUAAUCUUCCUAUUUUAAGGUCUGUAAUCUCAAUCACAUCCACACUGUCUCUUUUGCCACGUAAAGUAACAUAUUCACAAGUUCCCAGAGAUUAGGGCUUGGAAAUCUUUGGGGGACAUUAUUCUGCCUACCACAGCUAGGUUAUUUUCAUAUUUUUCUCCCUUAAUCCAUGUAACAGCCUCGUAAAGAAAGCAUUGUUAUACUCAUCAUAUACGAAUAGUAACUGAGGUUCAGAGAGGUUCCUAUUACAACUGAUAAACGGGGGAGCUGGGGUUUGAAUCUUGCUUCAGAGCUCACACUCCGUCCUCUGCCAGAGAUGGAGGGGUGGAAGAAAAGCCAUCAUGUGACCUGCCACUCUCAUUGCAUUUCCCACCAUUGUUUCACUAGGGCUGCUUCUCAACUUAGCAAGGUCGUCACUCUGUCCACCAAAGAUUUCUAACUCUCCUCCUGGGUAUGUGGUAUGUGUGUCUCCUGGGUCUCAUCAGAACACACAUGGCACGCUCAAAUGAAGUUAUUGAGAAGAGAUUAAUAAAAGGACUGUUUACAAGGUUGUGAGUGGGGCAAUGUAAAACCAACAAGGAAUGACAGAGCAUGUUGGCUAACAACAGCUAUUGCACCCCACGCCUGGAGGAGUAUAGGGAAGAAACAGUUACUAGAACCCCAAGAGAAAGGAGAAACUGAAGGAGGGGAUGCCUGGCUGGAGCUGUGGCCUUCAAUAGUGGAACACCGCUACAACCAGCCUGGCAGGGAGGCAUAACAGAACUGACCUUCCUCCCAGCCCUGUCGUGAGGAUGAAAUCCUGUGUGGAGCACUUUGAAAUCUUUGGAUGAAAAGCACGACAGAAGUGCCAAGUAUGAUUGUUACCCGUGCCAGCCACACUAGAAGACAGCAUAAAAAUAGGAAGCAAAGAAAAUUUCAUUUUACAAAAGCUUCAGUGAGAAAAUUGGCUGGUCAGAAUGUCAUUCCCUAGUUUUGGUUCACAUACACGUUGUCUUUUAUAAAAUUAAAGGAAAAAAAUAAUUGUACACAUUUUUGUCUUUGCCGGGAAGAAGCCCUUUGAUCAUCACCAUCCCUGCGACGCCAGGUGAGUCCCUGAUGCAGAAGGAAGAUCGAUACAUGAGGAGACCGUGUGGAAUCAGUUAUUUGUAGUUGCUCCCCAAUUUCUGUUUUUCAUUGCAAGGAAUCGAAGCCAUAAAGUCUGAGGGGGUGUUACAGGUUGAGGAUUAGGGAGUGUCUAAACCUUGACAUCGUCACAACAUAGGAUCCGAGAUACCUCCAGCUAAAACAGAGACUGUGCUUUCAGAACUGGCCCUGCACGCAGCCUCUACUCCAGUGCUCUCAGGUCCUGUCCUUAAUAGGAGAACAUGAGAGCUGCAGAUUUAAAAACCCAAGAGGGAACCUUUGCAACAACCUUUGUUAUAUUAGGAAUCCCAAAAUAAGCUAGAAGAGAGGAAUUUGAAUGUUCUCAACACAAAUGAUAAAUGUUUGAGAUGAUGGAUAUGCUAAAUACACUUAUUUGAUCAUUAAACAUCGUAUACAGAGGGCUCCCAUAAUUGUAUAAGCCUCAUGCCUCACAAAACCUGAAGGUGCCUUUGGUGAGGAGGAUCAUCAGAACACCAGCAGAGUACCUCGACGUGUGAAAUCUAGCACUGGAUUCCAUCCCUGACUUUUCCUAAGAAUCACUGUGAAUGCUCUGGACAAAUUGCUGCUGCGCUGGGUGCUCCCUGUGUCAUCACACUUCCUAAUUGUACUUCUGGGUCCUCUGAAGCUGUUCCCAGUGCUUAAUCGUAAGAAAAGAAGCUCCAAAUACUAGUUCAGAAACUCAGGUAGAAAGAGACCUUAAAUGUCAUGUCCAGCCACUCUUCUGAUGCUUGAGUCUUCUCUUCAGGAGGCAUCUGGGCCUGGGCUUGGACCCCUUGCCUCAGUCAACCCAUUAGAAGUGUCUUUCCUUGUCUUGAGUCAAAACCAGUCCACUGCUACUGGCAUUGCUCUAUACUUCCAGGCUGUACAGAAGAUGUCUAACCUUUCAGAUGAGAAUGGCAGAGGAAAGCAAGAAGAAAGAAACUUUAAUUGUUCCUCAACUUCCCAAUUAGGCACACCAUUAGGGGUUUUUAAUAUGGUUCUUGAUUUAAUCUUCUCAUUAACUUUCUGAUGUAAGUAUUAUUAUUUUAUUCUAGGGUUCCCAGAUGUAGCAAAUAAAAAUAGAGGAUAUCCAGUUAUAUCUGAAUUUCAGAUCAAAACAAAUGAUUUUUAAAUAAAACAUACACUCCCAAAAGUGUGAAAUUAAUUUGUCCUUGGACAAGAGAUAUGGAAAUGUCAUGUAUUUUACCUGGAAAUCCUGUUAUUAUGCCCAUUUUUGGAGCUGAGGAAACUAAAGGUAGGAGCCUAGGUAAGUAGUGGAGCUGGAAUCUAAGCCCAGGUCCUUGAUUUCAAAGCACAACCCCAUGCCCCACAAUAUCAUACACUGAUUUAGUAUCUGCCUCCUACCUACCCCCAAGAAAAAUGUGAAAUUAAUUUGUCUUUAGAAAGGAGCUACCAAAGCUAUAAAAACAAAACAAAUGUAUUUGCAGCUAAGAGAAGACAAUCUCCAGGAAACUACUGCUUCAGUUAUUUGACACUGGGCAGAAUUUUUGGUGAGAAAUCAGCAAGAUCAUAGCCUGGAGUGAACACUGGAGGCAUGAGAUGUCCUUGAGAAAGAGGCUAGAACAGAGGGUGGAACGCCCCUUCUAUUAAAGCAGUUGUUUUCCAGGGUCUCUGGAAAGCUCCUUCCUUUGUCGUGGCGGUGGUGGGGAAGGGGAGGCUGGGACCCUAAUGCAUGACUUUCCACCUGGGUGUCACUGGCACCUGAUGUCCUAAUCAUAUUUCCCUGUCACCUCUCAGUGCUGAUUUACUUUCUCCUCCCAUUCUACAUGCUGCAGAACUAAUUGCCUGCCUAAUUGCCAAAACGAAUUGCUGUGACAUUCAUUGUUCAUCUGCUCCUUUCUCCGGCUUGAGCUCAGGCAGGUGGCUCCCAUGAAGGCAAGGGUGGAAUUAUUCCUGCUUUAGGGCCAGGAUGCUUCAGAGUGAUGGCCCAACAAUUAUCUUCCUCAUGGAGGCGGACCAAGGAAUCACCUUCCUCAUUGAGCAGGGGACAAUAAUUCUUGGCAGGGGUUCCCCUUCUUCUGCUGUAAGAUUGGGUAGCUUUGACAGGUUGUGAGUCAGUUAAAUUGUACUUUUCAGGGAGUUCCUCUCUCCCAUUUGGAGAUUAGGAUUAGAUUUGUUGGUUAAGAAACUGACCGAGAGAGGAGAGACAGCUCCUUGCUGGCCACAUAGCUCAUUCAUGGUGAAGUUGAAUCUGGGGCUCAGAUAUCCCAAUUCAUAGCCCAGAAUGAUUUCUACUGCACCACACCACAACUGUUGCAGUUGCACUAAUUACGGUUUUAUAUUUCCUUAUAAACUUUUAUUAAACCCCUAUCAAAUAGUAUGUCCUCAUUGGUAGCAAGAAUAAUAAAUAUUUAUUGAGUUGUUAUGAAUAUUAAGCCUACUUUUUUUUCAUGUAAUCCUGAAAAAAGGCAACAUGACAGAGAUGCUCUCAGUAUCCUUAUUUUAUAUCAGGGAAAGUGGAGGCAGAGGGAGGUUAAUAACUUGCCCAGGUCUGACACCAGAUCCCAUCCUCUUACCCCCACAAGCCCAUGUGCAGAUUCCUCCUGACAGCUUCUGGAUUCUGAUACACGAAAGAACUUAUGAAGAUGACUUGAAGGCUGGAGCUGGCGCAACAUGAAACUAAUCAACCAGAUUAUGCAAAUUAUUAUGUAAACUCCUAUUAUUGAGCCAGGAUUCAUGACAGCCCCUUUUUUCCAACGCUGCUGAGAUAAAAGCAAAUGGAUUGCAACACUAGCUUGGGAUGAAUUCAGGGAGCUUGGAAAGAAUUCCUGGGAUUUUCUGGGCAGUGGAAAAGACAGUGGGUUGGGAGUCAAGAACCUGAAGUUUAGUUCCGGAUCUGGCAUUAGGUAGCUGCAUGGCCCUGGGAGGACCUAUGUGCCUCAGUUUCUUCAACUGUGAAACGAGAUAAGACUCCAUGCUCUGGAAGACCCCUGCCAUUCUAGGCAUCUCGGAUGGCAUGUCCAAGAUGGAAGCACACAAUGGCAGAGGCUUGUAGCGACCUUCAGGACAGCUUUCCAGUAGCUGUAAAUAAAAGUCUUAUUGUUUGGUUCUUGGUCUUUCCCCCCUCUCAGUGACAGGAAGAA